rnacentral:rRNA from 1 species
UACGGAGGGUGCGAGCGUUGUCCGGAAUCACUGGGCGUAAAGGGCGCGUAGGCGGCAGGCCAAGCGUGCGGUGAAAGUCCGGGGCUCAGCCCCGGAUCUGCCGUGCGGACUGGUUUGCUAGAGCACUGUAGAGGCGAGUGGAAUUCCUGGUGUAGCGGUGAAAUGCGCAGAUAUCAGGAAGAACACCCGUGGCUAAGGCGGCUCUCUAGUACGGUACUGACGCUGAGACGCGAAAGCGUGGGGAGCGAACAGG